rnacentral:rRNA from 1 species
AUUUAUUUGUUUUAUUAGUAGGUAUAGCACUGAAUAUCUAAUAUUCUUAGAAAGGAGUAUGAAAGUACUUACUUUGGAUAUUUAAUCUCAGAAUAACUAAUAAGUUGUAAUAAGUUAUCAGACUUCUUGCGAUAAGGUGUGAAGUCGAAAGGGAAACAGCCCAGAAUAAUUUAUAAAGUUCCAAAAUUGUUGUUUAGUGAAAUAAAAG